rnacentral:rRNA from 1 species
UACGUAGGUGACUAGCGUUGUUCGGAUUUAUUGGGCGUAAAGGGUCCGCAGGGGGCUGGCUAAGUCUGAUGUGAAAUACCAAGGCUCAACCUUGGAACUGCAUUGGAAACUGGCUGGCUAGAGCAUCGGAGAGGAGAUUGGAAUUCCUGGUGUAGCGGUGGAAUGCGUAGAUAUCAGGAGGAACACCAAAGGCGAAGGCAGAUCUCUGGACGAUUGCUGACCCUCAGGGACGAAAGCAUGGGGAU